AACGUAGGAGACAAACGUUAUCCGGAGUUACUGGGCGUAAAGGGCGUGUAGGUGGUAUCGCAAGUCUGGCGUGAAAUUUCUCGGCUUAACCGAGGCAGGUCGUCGGAUACUGCGAGGCUAGAGGACGGUAGAGGCGUGUGGAAUUCCGGGUGUAGUGGUGAAAUGCGUAGAGAUCCGGAGGAACACCAGUGGCGAAGGCGACACGCUGGGCCGUACCUGACACUGAUGCGCGACAGCAUGGGGAGCAAACAGG
rnacentral:rRNA from 1 species